rnacentral:rRNA from 1 species
GACGAACGCUGGCGGCGUGCUUAACACAUGCAAGUCGAGCGGAGCGGCGAACGGGUGAGUAACGCGUGAGUAACUGCCCCCCUCUCUGGGAUAACAGUUGGAAACGGCUGCUAAUACCGGAUAGUGGGGGAUGACUCGGGUCCUAUCAGCUUGUUGGGGGGGUAGUGGCUUACCAAGGGGACGGUGGGUAGCCGGCCUGAGAGGGCGACCGGCCACAAUGGGCUAAGGGACGGAGCAAACUGCUACGGGAGGCAGCGGGGGGAAAUAUUACACAAUAGGGGAAACCCUGAUGCAGCAAUCCGCGAGCGUGAUGACGGGCUUCGGGUUGUAAACCGCUUUCAGCCAUGACGCGGUAGUGGCAGAAGAAGCACCGGCUAACUACGUGCCAGCAGCCGCGGUAAUUC